GCCCAGAUGGCGGAACUGGUAGACGCGUCAGACUCAAAAUCUGGUUCUCGCAAGGGAGUGCAGGUUCGAUUCCUGUUCUGGGCACCA
rnacentral:tRNA from 1 species